CAUACGCAAUCCGGCGAACAAUACUCUCAAAGUUUGACCUCAAAUCAGGUAGGAAUACCCGCUGAACUUAAGCAUAUCAAUAAGCGGAGGAAAAGAAACCAACCGGGAUUGCCUUAGUAACGGCGAGUGAAGCGGCAAAAGCUCAAAUUUGAAAUCUGGUACCUUCGGUGCCCGAGUUGUAAUUUGUAGAAGGUAACUUUGGGGCUGGUCCUUGUCUAUGUUCCUUGGAACAGGACGUCAUAGAGGGUGAGAAUCCCGUGUGGCGAGGAUCCCAGUUCUUUGUAAAGUGCUUUCGAAGAGUCGAGUUGUUUGGGAAUGCAGCUCUAAGUGGGUGGUAAAUUCCAUCUAAAGCUAAAUAUUGGCGAGAGACCGAUAGCGAACAAGUACAGUGAUGGAAAGAUGAAAAGAACUUUGAAAAGAGAGUGAAAAAGUACGUGAAAUUGUUGAAAGGGAAGGGCAUUUGAUCAGACAUGGUGUUUUGCGCCCUCUGCUCCUUGUGGGUGGGGGAAUCUCGCAGCUCACUGGGCCAGCAUCAGUUUUGGCGGCAGGAUAAAUCUGCAGGAAUGUAGCUUGCCUCGGUAAGUGUUAUAUCCUGUAGAAAUACUGCCAGCUGGGACUGAGGACUGCGAC
rnacentral:rRNA from 1 species